GCCUGGGUGGCUCACUCGGUUGAGCAUCCGACUUCAGCUCAGGUCAUGAUCUCACACUCGUGGGUUCAGGCCCCACGUCGGGCU
rnacentral:tRNA from 1 species